CCUAACUUGGAAUGCUCCGCGGAAACUUUACUUGCGAAAAUCUAUCACGCUCAAACUUCUUCUUCUUCCCCCUCAACAUAAUCGUUCGUGAAGCAAUUUACGGUGAAACCAUUUUACAAAGUUUCCAAUUUAGGGUUAGUGAUUUUGCAAGAGCUUCUUUAAGCUUGCUCUUCUCUACGUUGUUCUUCAAUCGGUUGCUUUCAUUUAAGGCAAGUUUUGGAUUCAUAUCCAUUUUGAUUACCUAUUUUUGAUUUGUAUAAUAUUUUAUUAUGAUUUUUUUGUUCAUAGAUUUUAGGUGGAACAAAUUUUUCAGAGAUUACAAAUUUGAGCACGCAGAGGCAUCCAUUCAAUGCCAAGUCUAAAUGCUGCAGAAGUAUUUGCUACUUUACUAGAGAAAGGCCAAAGUCGUGUCAUAGAUGCUUCACUUACUCUUAUUUGAGAAAGAGCAAAGAUUAAGGCAUUCCAUAUUUGUGUUUAUUUAGUUUUGUGACCCAUAAUUUAAUAUUUUAUUUUGGUGAUUUUGAUUAUAAGAUUUGCAUGAAAGAAUAUAAAUGCAUAAGCUAUUUUUCUCUAGGGAGAACUUGUGCGUGCUUUGGGAGGUGCUAAAGCAACUUCAACUCUUCCUGGAGUUCCUUUGGGACAUAAUUUAUCUUUCCUUCAAGGUCCUACAUUUGCCCUGCCUCGCAUUAGCGAGGCCAUUUGGCGUGAUAGUACAAACUCAACUACUGAAGAAG